AACCAUAGAAACCUGCGGAGUACCUGCGGAGGGAUCAUUAUAGUAUAUGGAAUCUCCAUUCUAUAAACCCACUCUGCGUAUCUUGUAACUGUUGCUUCCAUGGGACUUGGUUCCGCCACACCGGCUUCACGGCUGGUGAGCGCCCAUGGAAGGAGAAACAAAACUCUUCUUUGAAAUGUAGUCAGUCUGAACAAGUUUUUAUAAACGUUAGAACUUUUAGCAAUGGAUCUCAGAUCGGAA
rnacentral:misc_RNA from 1 species